GACGAACGCUGGCGGCGUGCCUAAUACAUGCAAGUAGAACGCAGUUGCGAACGGGGGAGUAAAGCGUAGGUAACUGCCUCAUAGCGGGGGGUAAAUAUUGGAAAAGAUAGCUAAUACCGCAUACUGUGAGAUGGACCUGCGUUGUAUUAGCGAGUUGGUGAGGGAAAGGCGGACCAAGGCGACGAUCCAUAGCCGACCUGAGAGGGGGAUCCGCCACGCUGGGAACGAUGACCGGCCCCGACCCCUAACGGAGGCAGCAGUAGGGAAACAUCGGCAAUUGACGGAAGGCCGACCGAGCGACUCCGGCGGAUUGAAGAAGGUCUUCGGAGCUUAAAGCUCUGUUGUUAGAGAAGCGUUAACUAACCAGAAAGGGCCGGCUAACUACGUGCCAGCAGCCGCGGUAAUAC
rnacentral:rRNA from 1 species